rnacentral:misc_RNA from 1 species
GAUGAAGAACGCAGCGAAAUGCGAUAAGUAAUGAGAAUUGCAGAAUUCCGUGAAUCAUCGAAUCUUUGAACGCACAUCGCGCCCUCUGGUAUUCCGGGGGGCAUGCCUGUCCGAGCGUCAUUUGCAACCCUCAAGCCCGGCUUGUGUGAUGGGUGCCGUCCCCUACGGGACGCGCCCCGAAGGCAAUGGCGGCGUCGCGGUUAUCCGAUCAGCCAAAGUGUAUGGGGCUUUGUCACUCACUUUACGGCCCGGACCGGCGCCAGUCCGAAUCAAUCUUUUUUCUAAAGUUGACCUCGGAUCAGGUAGGGAUACCCGCUGAACUUAAGCAUAUCAAUAAGCGGAGGA